rnacentral:lncRNA from 1 species
CAGCCAGCCAGCCAGCCAGCCAGCCAGCCAGCCAGUCAUCCAGCCAGCCAGCCAGUCAUCCAGCCAGCUAGCCAGGCACCCAGCCAGUCACCCAGCCAAUCACCCAUCCUCCCAGCCAAUCACCAGCCAGCCAGCCAGCCAUUCUAACAGUCACACAGUCACCCAGCCAUCCAGUCAGUCAGUCAGCCACUCAGCCAGCCAAUCACCCAUCCACCCAGCCAAUCACCCAUCCAACCAGUCAGCCAGCCAGCCACCCAGUCACCCAGUCACCAAGCCAACCAUUCACAUACACAUCCAGCCAGCCAAUCACCCAGCCAGCCAGCCAGUCACACAGCCAAUCACCCAUCCAGUCAGCCAGUCUGCCAGUCACCCAGCCAGCCAGUCUCCCAGUCAGCCAGUCACCUAGCCAGUCACCUAGCCAGUCACCCAGCCAGUCAGCCAAUCACCCAUCCAGCCAGCCAGUCUGCCAGUCACCCAGCCAGCCAGCCAGCCAGUCAGCCAGUCACCCAGCCAGGAAUCCAGCGAGUCAGGCAGUCACCCAGCCAGCCAGUCAGCCAGGAAGCCAGAGAGUCAGCCAGGCAGUCAGCCAGUCACCCAGCCAGGAAGCCAGAGUCAGUCAGGCAGUCACCCAGCCUGUCAGCCAGUCAACCAGCCAGGAAGCCAGAGAGUCAGCCAGUCAGCCAGGCAGUCACCCAGCCAGUCAGCCAGUCAGCCAG